rnacentral:rRNA from 1 species
AAUACCUGGUGGCGACCGGCGCACGGGUGCGUAACGCGUAUGCAACCUACCUAUCAGAGGGGAAUAACCCGGCGAAAGUCGGACUAAUACCGCAUAAAACAGGGCACCGCAUGGUGAUAUUUGUUAAAGAAAUUCGCUGAUAGAUGGGCAUGCGCUCCAUUAGGUAGUUGGUGAGGUAACGGCUCACCAAGCCGACGAUGGAUAGGGGAACUGAGAGGUUGGUCCCCCACACUGGUACUGAGACACGGACCAGACUCCUACGGGAGGCAGCAGUGAGGAAUAUUGGUCAAUGGGCGGGAGCCUGAACCAGCCAAGUCGCCGUGAAAGGAAAAAGGAUCUAUGGUUCGUAAACUUCUUUUGCAGGGGAAUAAAGUGCAGGACGUGUCCUGUUUUGUAUGUACCCUGAGAAUAAGGAUCGGCUAACUCCGUGCCAGCCGCCGC